rnacentral:rRNA from 1 species
AGGACGAACGCUGGCGGCGUGCUUAACACAUGCAAGUCGAGCGGUAAGGCCUUUCGGGGUACACGAGCGGCGAACGGGUGAGUAACACGUGGGUGAUCUGCCCUGCACUUCGGGAUAAGCCUGGGAAACUGGGUCUAAUACCGGAUAUGACUUCAGGUUGCAUGACUUGGGGUGGAAAG